AAGAGCGACGAGGCUGCGUUUGGGCAAACCUGAAUACGUUUUUCAUUUUAGGCUGCUGUAACAUCUUGGCUUUCCUUGAAGGAGAGAGCGGGAUUUGAAGGCAGCGGGGUUGUUGAUGCGUAUCACCGUGGCUGGCCACAGCUUUUAGGCGAACCUGUGGCUGGGGACUUCGGUCGGCGCGGUGACGCGGUUCGGCCAGGAAUUUCAGAAAAGGAGCCGGGAAGUGCUGGACAGAGAGUCCCCGUGGAAAUUCAGCUCAGUGCCCAAACUGGUUCUCCGGAGCACUAGCGCAGUCCGCGUGGCAAGUGUGGUGGGACAGGGAACCAGUACAGAGCUGUGGGUUAAGUAAGGGGAGAUAAAGGGAGGCCCUUCUGCGAGUAUUAUGUAUGAAAAUGAAUUAAUAACAGAAAUGAUGCGCUGCGAGACGGUGAGAAAAGUAACUAUGCAGCUGCCAGUGGCCUUAAAAACUUGAUUUUGAAGCCUCUAAAGGAGACUGGGAGAGAGGGUGCUCAUUCCCCUUGCUUGAAUUAACAUACUUUGGAAGAGUGUCGAUGGUAGGACGCCAGCUGCAUUUGCCAACCCGCAACAUCCCCGAGUAGCGUUGGUAAGAGUGCUGUGCCGUGACAGUGCCGUGUUUCGUUUCCCAAUCUCAGUAUUUCACACCCGUGAAGCUCCCGACCGGACCUUAACCCUUAGCCCGGCAGUGCCCCCUGAGAGCUCGCCGAGGGAUUAAAUCGGUAACGAUGCAGAGGGACGUUGCCUGUAGAUUCCCUGGCAUCAGUCUCUGCAGCACAUCUACGCGUAAGAACUUCAAUAUUUGGGAUUCCGAACUCGAUGCCGUGCGCUACGGUGAUAGAGCAUGGAGACUUGUGCAGCUGUAAAACCAGUCUCCGUAACCCAAAUAACCUGUAGGCACGAGGUGGUGGGAAUUCUUAAAACCCACUCUGCUCAUUCCUCGCCCGGAGCGCGACCUGUAGGAUUAAAAUUUGUUUGAGGUCAGAAGUCCUGUUUCCACACCAUGCAACUGCUACGGCUGAAGUCGGAUUGAUGUUUCCACAGCUUCUCAUCGAUCAGUCUAAAGCUGGAAAUGUUCCCUCAAAUCGUUCUCGAUGGCUCCCUACGCGUCUUUUGAGCACAAUAACUACCUUGAAAAUCAGCUUCACAUUUUUCAUGUUUCAGGAGCCCAGAGAAUUUUGAGUAGACCCCUGCUGCUGGUGGUAUCUUGUCACCUCUGGCAUCAAAAAGCAAACCAGAUGACUUAGCAAACCUUCUCAGAACAAGAUAUUUCGCCGUGGGUUAGGCUGCCAGGCAAAGCGCAUGAGCACAAACCCAACCGAGCGUCACGGCGAGCGCGUACCUUGAGCCAAGACACUGCGUGCCGUUUAAAUGACCAGGGAACAAACGUUCCUUCACGUCCUCAGGACCGCUUCAGGAGACACGCCAAGGAAGGGGUGACCAAAAGGUACACCCGCAGCGGAGCACACGCCUUCAGAGCGACGUAAAAUAAAACGGCUCGUUUCGACAGACACCUCGCACUUCAGCAGACUGCCUCGACAGACAGAAAACCCCGGAGGUUAUCGCUCAGGGAUGCAGCGAUGCCUGGAUGCAGCCGGCGAGGUGUCAGAGAGCUGCUUCUAUCCUGCCCGUCGCUCCCUGUGCCGUGCGGGGCCAGACGAUGCUGGAAGCCCGAAGCAGCGCUGGAAUCUGUUUACUCCACAGAUGGGAAAAUGUUUGCCCGUUGGCACUUCUCCAUACGAGCUGACAGGGGAGGAGUUGCUAAAUUUGCGUCAAAAGCCAACCCUUUGCUGCCUCCACAGGUUCUUGCAAGGCUCAAUUCCAUGUACCCGGCAGAAAAAAAGUUUCCGUGCUGUGCCUCAUCCUCUGAAACAGGUUUCCUCAGAAGAUCGGUAAUUUUUUUUAAACUUUUCAUGUCUUUUAAACUGCGAAAAGCCCAAAAGUUUGAAGGAGACGUCAGAAGCCACUAACGCUUCCCUUGUGUGAAAUCAGACUCUCUGAGCCUUGCCAUGUGAUCCACUCCUUAACCUUACACUCACUGAAAAUAGGGAAUUUUGCGGUGCUGAGUAGCUACGUAUAGUUACUUACUAGAACAUAUUUCCCUAAGUUUACCUCUCUGGGAUCCGAAUCAAUGUAAUGCUCUUCCCAGAGUCCUUCUGGUUUGAAAGUUCCCUGCUUAUGUCUUGUCGUAGAUGUUUUCUGCCUUUCCUGGGUGUCUUGGAAGUUUGCUAAAUCUCUUUUAAUUUUGGCUAUUUCCACACUUAGGAUGUUGAUAUACUAAACUCAAAAUUUUAAAAAGAAAAUUAAAAGGACUAAUGUGCCAGUGCAAUUAGCUUUUAAAAAUAAACUAAGUGGACUACUUUGGCUGAAUAAUUGUGACAGCAGAGGUUUCUAACAAAGAGUGUGAAAGGUGUGAACAUCUGGGACAGACACAGUUUGUUUAAUCUGGGCUAGAGACACGUAUAUCCCCUGUUCCAAGACAGACAAAAUCUGCUCAUUCAGCUUAUAAGUAACCACCAAAGAACAGCGGGGAAACUGUCCUAAUGUGAGUUUUUAUCAGGGGAAAAGUGGUCUAAAGACAAUACAGGGAAACAUACCUUCUCAUGUGAAUUAAAGUAGGCUUCAGUGGUAGCCAGGGAUGGAUUUUGGCUUCUCCGGUGCUAAAAUUGUGUGGCCUCAACUCCUCUGUCAGCAAAGUGCUACAGCUCCAGGUGCACUCAUGUUUUCUUUCUUUCUUUCUCCAAUUACUGCAGAGAUGCAAUAGCCAUUAUAUGUGGUGGGCACUGUGCAUUUCCAAGGUAUUAAAACUGUCCUGUAAGGACUGCUGCCCCAGUUUGAUUUUGCUCUGGCUGCGUUGGGUUCAUAAGGUUUUAAAGCCUUGUCCUUACCUGUGUGGAAGCUCAUAGGAACUGCCAGCAUCUCCAGAAAGCCGAGGGGCUCGCACGUGGUGAACCCCCAUCUCUCGGCGAGUCGGGAUGACACAUUGGCUGGCUGAAACUGCACAGCCACGGCAGGUCAAGCCUCAGGCACAUUCUGAAGAACUAAAAGCAUUUUGGUCAUUAAGAGGCUGUACAGACCUAAACCCCAAACUUACCCGAAGUAAAUGCAGCAAGCCGCCUUAAACUGCUAACCUCCAUGUAAAGACAACAGCCGCCUUUUUCAUGCACGUCGGGGCCCUGCCAACUGUUUUUGCAAGAAGGAAGCAGAAAAAGGUCAGGGAUGAAGUGAAGCUGCCGUGUCAGCGGUUACGAGGCCGGCUAACACUCCUUUGCCUUAGUUUUCACCAUCGCGCUCACGCUUGAAUUUCCACAGGCAUCAGUCUAGCCGUAACCUGCUGAGUUUUGCCUCUUAGCGUAUGCUUCUCCCCGUCAAGCACAGCAUUUCCUAUAGGAACGGUGUCUAUGCCCAUUUCUAAUUACUGUGUUUCAGUGGUCUUUUCUGGUAGCCGGCGACGCACCAGGCUGCUGUAGGCAAAGGUGUUACUGGUGCCCACGGGGCCGGACUGGUUGCGCUGGGUGCUGCCGGCUAUCGCCUUCGGGGCUCCGCAGCCAGGCGAGCAUCCUGCCUGCUCAGUCGCUUCAGCAGAUGUGCAUGAUUAAUGGAUUAUUUACCUUUUGCUGCCUGAUUAUUAUUUUUUCUGCCUCUAACCUUUUCACUUUUACAAAUUUAUUUUGACUUUGAAAUUCUGGCGCUUCCACUUAUAACCUUUAUGUUUAUUGGUGAAGUAGCUAUUAUUAGACUGUUUUUCCCCCUCUUUCUAAUGCUGAAGUUUAAUUAUAUUUUUCCUUCUGCCUUUUGGUACAGGUGCAGUAAUUAAAUGGCAUUAAGUCUGUUUCACAAUCAUUAAGUAGGCUUGUUAUUGUCCUUUUUGUAUAUAUUUGAAGUUGUAAAUAAGUCACCUUUCUAAUGAAUCUGCCUGGUAGAACUUUGACAUAUCACUCAGAUAGUGCCGCUACAGUUGUACGAAGAAAUGUUUUGUGUUCUUUAUAGUCCCCGGCCCUUUCCAGAGGAGGAGAGCGCAGCAGGACUGAAUUGUGCCGCACCUUAAAUAAUAAAUAUAACUACUUAAACCACUGAAAAUGUUCAGGUAUGAGUUUGUUUUUAAACUCAGGUUUCUGAGCUCAGGCCACUUAGAUGAGAUGCCUGACAUUUUCUGUGGGUGUGGGGUUUUUUCAGUGUUUCUAAAGUACUAUUAAUGGGAGAAUGUAAUGUGACCUUUUUAAAACCACUAUUUAAGGGGUGAAACACUAGAUAUCAUAUUGAUGCAGUGUGCCUAAUUUCACAAAGGGUGAAUUAAUCAGCUUUAUGUGAUGGG